AGAGUUUUGAUCCUGGCUCAGGAUGAACGCUGGCGGCGUGCUUAACACAUGCAAGUCGAACGAUGAAGCCCAGCUUGCUGGGUGGAUUAGUGGCGAACGGGUGAGUAACACGUGAGUAACCUGCCCCGACUCUGGGAUAAGCCCGGGAAACUGGGUCUAAUACCGGAUAUUACCUUUGACCGCAUGGUUGUUGGUGGAAAGAUUUAUCGGUGGGGGAUGGACUCGCGGCCUAUCAGCUUGUUGGUGAGGUAAUGGCUCACCAAGGCGACGACGGGUAGCCGGCCUGAGAGGGUGACCGGCCACACUGGGACUGAGACAUGGCCCAGACUCCUACGGGAGGCAGCAGUGGGGAAUAUUGCACAAUGGGCGAAAGCCUGAUGCAGCGACGCCGCGUGAGGGAUGACGGCCUUCGGGUUGUAAACCUCUUUCAGUAGGGAAGAAGCGAAAGUGACGGUACCUGCAGAAGAAGCGCCGGCUAACUACGUG
rnacentral:rRNA from 1 species